rnacentral:rRNA from 1 species
GAUGAACGCUAGCUACAGGCUUAACACAUGCAAGUCGAGGGGAAACGACAUCGAAAGCUUGCUUUUGAUGGGCGUCGACCGGCGCACGGGUGAGUAACGCGUAUCCAACCUGCCCAUCACUUGGGAAUAACCUUGCGAAAGUAAGACUAAUACCCAAUGACAUCCCACGAAGACAUCUGAAUGGGAUUAAAGAUUUAUCGGUGAUGGAUGAGGAUGCGUCUGAUUAGCUUGUUGGCGGGGUAACGGCCCACCAAGGCAACGAUCAGUAGGGGUUCUGAGAGGAAGGUCCCCCACAUUGGAACUGAGACACGGUCCAAACUCCUACGGGAGGCAGCAGUGAGGAAUAUUGGUCAAUGGGCGAGAGCCUGAACCAGCCAAGUAGCGUGCAGGAUGACGGCCCUAUGGGUUGUAAACUGCUUUUAUAAGGGAAUAAAGUGGGUCUCGUGAGACUUUUUGCAUGUACCUUAUGAAUAAGGACCGGCUAAUUCCGUG